AUUCGUGAAGCGGUGCAUGCUGGGACCAGCGCCAUCUUGCCGUCCUCGGGAGCAGACAGUCGCACAGUCGCGUACGGACAACCGCAUCCUACCUUUUCAAACUUCAGGCGAAGCCGCAGCCGCGCUUUCUGCCUCGGGUAUGGUGUCGUGUGUGGUGGUAGGUUGCCACAACAAGACGCAAUCGUCAAAGAAGAAGAAAGAGUGCAAGGUCGCAGACGCUCGGUUCUUUAAAAUACCGAAGGUACGGACUCGUGAAUGCGACACGACGCGAACACUGUCCGCGAGGAGACAGCGAGAAUGGUUGAAACGCAUCAACAGAAAAGACCUGGACGCUGACCUCGACAAGUACAAGGUGUGCUCACGCCACUUCGUCUCGGGGGCAGCGGCCGAUCUUUUUGACGGCUGCAACCCUGACUGGGCACCUAGCCAACAUUUGGGUUAUGCAUCCACGCUCGACGGCCCGCACUCAGGUCGCUACGUACGGCUGAGUCGUCGUCGGCAUCAAAAACGGACCGCCCCCAGUCAAGGUCUCUCUAGUCAUGCUUCUGUGGCUUCACCUUCGCCUGUUGGUGAGACCUGUGCAAGUCCUGGUGGUGAAGAAAUGUCGAGCACACUUCAAGACAAAUCAUGCCAAACCAACUUGGCAGGGUCAGAUGUACAGUCACUCGAGGACAAGGUUUCCCGCCUCACCGAGGAGCUUGAUCAAACGAAGAAAACCCUCGAGGGCACACAGUUCACGGAGGAGGCUCUUCAGGGGCACGAUGAGAAGGUGUCAUUUUACACGGGGCUGCCUUCUUUCCUUGCUCUUUUGACCAUUUUUAAGCAGGUAGCUGGCCAUGUAGCACACUCGGGCCAAAAUGUUCUGGGACAGUUCGAAGAAAUGAUGGUGUGUUUGGUUCGACUCCGGCUGAAUGCUCCCGAGCAAGACCUAGCGUACCGAUUUGGUGUGUCGCAGCCAGCCAUCUCGAGAGUGUGGAGGAAGUGGCUGAAUGGAUUUUUUUAUCGCUUGAAUCCACUGAUUCAAUGGCCAACCAAAGAAGAAGUUGUGAAAACUAUGUCUAUGGCCUUCAUUGAAAACUUCGGCUCAAAGGUUAGAGUGAUUCUUGACUGUUUUGAGGUUUAUAUUGACAGACCAACAUCUCUUGUUGUACGAGCUGCUACAUGGUCUCAUUACAAGCACCAUAAUACGGUGAAGUUUUUGAUAGGAAUAUGCCCUCAGGGAAGCGUCACCUUUCUGUCGAAAGCGUAUGGUGGACGCGCCAGUGACAAAAGUAUUACUGAGCACAGUGGCGUACUGCACCUUCUUGAGUUUGGAGAUGUGGUGCUUGCAGAUCGAGGGUUUUUGAUCAGUGAAAGUGUCGGGUCUGUGUUGUGCGACGCUACACAUUCCCCCCUUUACGAAAGGAAGAGAACAACUGUGCAGCAUAGAAGUAGAAUCUACCCGCGAGUUGGCAAACGUUCGUAUUCAUUUUGAGCGCGUGAUCGGAUUGGUUCGGAACAAGUAUACAAUACUCAGGGGCACUCUCCCAAAUGAAAUGCUGCGAGCAGACGCAGAUGGUAGUACACCAAUUGACAAAAUUGCUGUUGUGUGCUGUGCCCUUGCAAAUCUGUGCAGUUCGGUUGUCCCACGGGACUAGUUGUACUCCAUGCUAACACAACUGUCUGAAGAAAUAAAACUUUCAGUUGCU